AGCAGCCGCGGUAAUUCCAGCUCCAAUAGCGUGUAUUAAAGUUGUUGCAGUUAAAAAGCUCGUAGUUGAAUUUCGGGAUUGACACAUCGGUCGUGCCUUAAGGGGUAUGAACUGGUGUAGUCAAUUUCUCACCUUCUGGAGAACCGCGAUGCCCUUAAUUGGGUGUCGCGGGGAACCAGGACCUUUACUUUGAAAAAAUUAGAGUGUUUAAAGCAGGCAUUUUGCUUGAAUACAUUAGCAUGGAAUAAUAAAAUAGGACGGCAUGAUUCUAUUUUGUUGGUUUCUAGGAUCACCGUAAUGAUUAAUAGGGAUAGUUGGGGGCAUUAGUAUUCAAUUGUCAGAGGUGAAAUUCUUGGAUUUAUUGAAGACUAACUACUGCGAAAGCAUUUGCCAAGGAUGUUUUCAUUAAUCAAGAACGAAAGUUAGGGGAUCGAAGACGAUCAGAUACCGUCGUAGUCUUAACCAUAAACUAUGCCGACUAGGAAUCAGACGAUGUUAAUUUUUUAAUGACUCGUUUGGC
rnacentral:misc_RNA from 1 species